rnacentral:rRNA from 1 species
UGAAUCAGCUAGCUUUCUGCAACUCUCACAUGCUCGCCCACUGAAGCUAAGCAGGGCUGCGCCUGGUCAGUACCUGGUUGGGAUACCACAUGGGAAAGCUAGGUUGCUGCCGGAA